ACACGCCGGGUGGCAACCGGUCACAAUGGGGAACGACGGACGCAGUUGAUUUUGCCGGUUUCUAACUGCGGCAGCAGCGCAUCGGUACGCGCCGGCGUCUAACCUGUUCCCGGC
rnacentral:sRNA from 1 species